GCGGCUCCGGGGGGCGACGGAGGGGGUGCGGGUACCCAAAGUGCGGCCCCGAGGGUGGGGGGGCCGAGCCGGGGCUGCGGGAGAGGGCUUUGUGCGGGGGGGAACGUGAGAGGGAGGGGAUGGAGGGAGCGGGAUGCAGGCGGGGAUACAGGUAGGGAUGCAGUAGGGAAGCAGCAGAGAUGCAGUAGGAAGCAGCAGGGAUACAGUAGGGGAGCAGCAGAGAUGGAACAGGGAUGCAGUAAGGAUGCAGUGGGGAUGCAGCAGGGAUGCAGUAGGGAAGCAGCAAGGAUGCAGUAGGAAGCAACAGGGAUACAGUAGGGGAGCAGCAGAGAUGGAACAGGGAUGCACUAAGGAUGCAGUGGGGAAGCAUCAAUGAUGCAGUAGGGAUACAGGCAGGGAUGCAGUAGGGAAGCAACAGGGAUGCAGGCAGGGAUGCAGUAGUGCAAAAGCUUCAUGCUGAGCACAGUGGGACAGCAGAUGCCACUCUGGGCACAGUGCUAUCAUCCCACCCCACCUCACACCAGCAGUCCUAUUGCUGGUGUGGCCGUGCCAGAGGUGAGCAGGACCUGCAGGAGUCAGGGAAGAAGGCAAAGCAAUCGCCACAGCUUCCCGGCCAAGGUGUCCGGAAGCAAAAAUCUCUGUCAGCAGGUCUGCUUUCCUGCAGGUCGCUCUCUGCGUUAUCAGAACCCGUUUUGUUUUUUUCCCUUCUCUCAGACAAGAGCGCCCUUGUUUGAAGGGACCCUCACAGAAGCCACUUCCCCUUUGUGGGUCCCGGGGUGGCACGCAGCCAGCAGCAGUGCUGCCAGCAGUGGGGGUGUGGGGCUGCUGCACACAGCAGAGGUUCUUCCCUCGCUGGGAUGGGGUAGGUUCCUGUUCCUGUUCCCCAGUGUGGCGGAUGCCCCUGUGCUGAAGUGGCCCUGUGCUGUGGAGUUGGCCCUGAAGCAGUGCUCCUGUGACCCGCCCUGGCCACAUCAGUUGUCCCUUUUCCCAUGAGGGCUGCUGGGAUGCCCUGCUCUGGGCUUUGGCAUCAUCUACCCUGGAACAUCUUUAACCAUCACCAAUCCCUCCACUACGCAAAGAUGAAAAUGUGGGUCCAACAUUCUGUCCUGCCAGGAGCAGCUGGGGGAGCCAUGCCUGCAUCAGGGGGACAGGGGAGGCUCAGGGCUGUGGGAGUUAUCCGGCCUUCUUUGCAGGAAUUGGGGAGGCUGGGCUGGCUGGUGCUGGGCCG
rnacentral:lncRNA from 1 species